rnacentral:sRNA from 1 species
UCCCCUCCUUCGAUGGUCCCUCAGUCUCAUACUCAAUCUCAAUCCGGCCACCCUUCUUCCUUGGUUUGGGAGGGAGUGGAGCACGUUUCCGCUUGCUGCCAGGUACAGGUUUCUUGGGGACUUCAUCCGGUUCGCUGCUCUCCUCACUAUUGUCGUUGCUUUCAUCGUCAUCAUGGUCAUCAUGAUCCCCCUCGUCGUCGUCGUCGUCGUCGUCGUCCUCCUCCUCCUCCUCCUCUGCACUGUCGUCAUCUAACCAGUCCUCCAUAUCCUCCAAAUCAUCAUCCUCCUCGUCAAUGUCACUUACAUACUCAACCUCGCCAACACCUUCCUCUUCCUCCUCCUCUUCCUCAAUGCCUUCGUCGAGAUCCUCAUCCCGCUCACCCUCUCCCUGCCUCUCCAAGCCGCGCAGAACCUUCUUCCAAAUGCCCUCCUCCACAUUCAGCGGUCGAUCACCAUAGGCGCCACUCCUUAAUCUCUCAAUCAGCUCUCUCUCAAUGGCCCUUUCCACCUUCGCAGCGGCCUCUGCCUUGCGUUCACGAGUCUCCUCUCUUCUCCUGACCUUAGGCGCUAGCUUCGCAACCAAUUUCUCUCCCAGCCUUUCCUCUUCCUUAAUAAGCUUCCUCGUCCGUAUAGACACCUGCGUGAGCCUAGUAAGUCGCUGCUUGCACUUGUGGAUUAAAAACUUGGGCCAGUAGAUCAAGCGCUCAUCGAGCUGCUCGAGGGCUUUUGCGUAGUUGGACGAUAAUCGUAUCCGCUCCCACCAUUUGCUGGGCAUGUGAGAUCUCUCAAUUGUCUUCAUGUACAGGUACAUCGCGCCCGUUGCUGGGUCGGAGCGAACCGUGGCAUAUCGGGAGUUUGCGAGCGGACAUGACUGUCUAUUGCACAGGCCUGUCACGUUAUAUUCGUUGCGGCAGAAGUUUUGGCCUUUGGCUGUCCUGCAUAAUGUUGGCGAUUAGGUCGGGUUUUUACGCACCGUCCCCAGGGUCAGCUAUCUCAUGGACUUAGAACAUACUUGAGUUUGUAGGAGCAAAAUUGCUGGUUUAUAACCUGCCACACGAUUUCGUCGGAAGACAUGUUCGUAAAUGUGGUUUCAUGAGCGGUCCUCUAAACGGUUAUGGAGUGUGGUAGAGUGAUCUUAUGUUCGCCGUUUUACUUCUGUAUUUCUGGAUUUUGGAAAAAAAAAAAGAAAAAAAAAAAAAGUUCGUGUUGGAGAAUCACGUGGUUUUCCUGCCAACCCCUUUUCUUUUUUUUCUUUCUUGCAUCGCAAAAAUACACAAACACAAUAAUGUGGAUCUUGUUGCUGGG